UGCGAUAAGCGCCGGUAAGGUGAUAUGAACCGUUAUAACCGGCGAUUUCCGAAUGGGGAAACCCAGUGUGAUUCGUCACACUAUCAUUAACUGAAUCCAUAGGUUAAUGAGGCGAACCGGGGGAACUGAAACAUCUAAGUACCCCGAGGAAAAGAAAUCAACCGAGAUUCCCCCAGUAGCGGCGAGCGAACGGGGAGGAGCCCAGAGCCUGAAUCAGCAUGUGUGUUAGUGGAAGCGUCUGGAAAGGCGCGCGAUACAGGGUGACAGCCCCGUACACAAAAGCGCAUGUGCUGUGAGCUCGAUGAGUAGGGCGGGACACGUGGUAUCCUGUCUGAAUAUGGGGGGACCAUCCUCCAAGGCUAAAUACUCCUGACUGACCGAUAGUGAACCAGUACCGUGAGGGAAAGGCGAAAAGAACCCCGGCGAGGGGAGUGAAAAAGAACCUGAAACCGUGU
rnacentral:rRNA from 3 species